rnacentral:rRNA from 1 species
UACGUAGGGGGCAAGCGUUGUCCGGAUUUAUUGGGCGUAAAGAGCGUGUAGGCGGCCAGGUAGGUCUGCUGUGAAAACUCGAGGCUUAACCUCGAGCUGUCGGCGGAAACCAUCUGGCUAGAGUCCGGAAGAGGAGAAUGGAAUCCCCGGUGUAGCGGUGAAAUGCGCAGAUAUCGGGAAGAACACCAACGGCGAAAGCACUCUGCUGGGCCGACACUGACACUGAGAGACGAAAGCUAGGGGAGCGAAUGGG